UUUCCGUAGGUGAACCUGCGGAAGGAUCAUUAUCGUACAAAAUGUGUAGAGGCAUGCCGGGGUUGUCGCUGACCAAAAAGUUGUGCACGCCACAGUGUGUCCUCUCACAUAACAAUCCAUCUCACCCUUUGUGCACCACCGCGUGGGCACCCCUUUGGGAUCAGACCGAUCUCGGAGGGGGUUCGCGUUUUCACACAAAAACCCCCCUUUAAAAAGUGUAGAAUGACCUCAUUUAUGCAAUCAAUACAACUUUCAACAACGGAUCUCUUGGCUCUC
rnacentral:misc_RNA from 1 species